UGGCCGUAAACGAUGUGGACUUGGUGUUGGAAUGGCUCCGAGCUGCUCCAGUGCCGAAGGGAAGCUGUUAAGUCCACCGCCUGGGAAGUACGGUCGCAAGACUGAAACUUAAAGGAUUGGCGGGGGAGCACCACAACGCGUGGAGCCUGCGGUUUAAUUUGGAUUCAACGCCGGACAUCUCACCAGGGGCGGACAGCAGAAUGAUGGCCAGGUUGAUGACCUUGCUUGACAAGCUGAGAGGAGGUGCAUGGCGUGUGACUGU
rnacentral:rRNA from 1 species